UGAUUUUGAUUUCACAACCAAUGAGAACUGCCAGAAAAGCAAAAUUUUCUUCAUUGCAUGGGCACCUGAUACUUCAAGGGUGAGAAGUAAGAUGCUUUAUGCAAGCUCCAAGGACAGAUUCAAGAGGGAGUUGGACGGGAUUCAAGUGGAGUUGCAGGCAACAGACCCUAGUGAGAUGAGCUUGGAUAUCAUAAGAGGGCGGGCACUCUAAAUAGUCUUGUAGAGCAUUAUUGAUCCAUCACUUUGUCACAUGAUCUAUCUUCAAUUUUAUUUUUUGGUAGUUGUGUGAGCUAUUUUAUGUUAAUUACUUUAUUUUUCAGAUCAGAUGUGGAUUCAAUUUUAAAACAUUAAUUGGUACAUUCCUUUGCUAUAUAUUGGUGCAUUUCA